rnacentral:rRNA from 1 species
CCUACGGGAGGCAGCAGUGGGGGAUAUUGCACAAUGGGGGGAACCCUGAUGCAGCGACGCCGCGUGGGUGAAGAAGCGCCUCGGCGCGUAAAGCCCUGUCAGCAGGGAAGAAAAUGACGGUACCUGAAGAAGAAGCCCCGGCUAACUACGUGCCAGCAGCCGCGGUAAUACGUAGGGGGCAAGCGUUAUCCGGAUUUACUGGGUGUAAAGGGGGCGCAGACGGGGAUGCAAGCCAGGAGUGAAAGCCCGGGGCUCAACCCCGGGACUGCGCUUGGAACUGCGUGGCUGGAGUGCAGGCAGGGCAGGCGGAAUUCCUGGUGUAGCGGUGAAAUGCGUAGAUAUCAGGAGGAACACCGGUGGCGAAGGCGGCCUGCUGGACUGCAACUGACGUUGAGGCCCGAAAGCGUGGGGAGCAAACAGGAUUAGAUACCCGAGUAGUC